rnacentral:rRNA from 1 species
UAGGGAAUAUUGCGCAAUGGGCGAAAGCCUGACGCAGCAAUACCGCGUGAGUGAGGAAGGUCUUCGGAUUGUAAAACUCUGUCAGAAUGGAAAAACGGCGUUAGUAGGAAAUGACUAGCGAUUGAUGGUACAUUCAAAGGAAGCACCGGCUAACUUCGUGCCAGCAGCCGCGGUAAUACGAAGGGUGCAAGCGUUGUUCGGAUUUAUUGGGCGUAAAGCGCGCGCAGGCGGAUUGACAAGUCAGGUGUGAAAUCUCUCGGCCUAACCGAGAAACAGCGCCUGAAACUAUCGAUCUAGAAUAACGGAGAGGGAAGGGGAAUUUCGCAUGUAGGGGUAAAAUCCGUAGAUAUGCGAAGGAACACCGGAGGCGAAAGCGCCUUCCUGGCCGUUUAUUGACGCUGAGGCGCGAAAGCGUGGGGAGCAAACAGG